rnacentral:rRNA from 1 species
GGUUAAGCGACUAAGCGUACACGGUGGAUGCCUAGGCAAUCAGAGGCGAUGAAGGACGUGCUAAUCUGCGAUAAGCGUCGGUAAGGUGAUAUGAACCGUUACAACCGACGAUUUCCGAAUGGGGAAACCCAGUGCAAUUCGUUGCACUAUCGUUUGAUGAAUACAUAGUCAAACGAAGCGAACCGGGGGAACUGAAACAUCUCAGUACCCCGAGGAAAAGAA